CUCUUUUUCAUCAACUAACAGAAUUGGAAUGUAAUAUCGGAUUUUCAUGUUCAUUCCUUUGAAAAAUCUGUGCACUUCAUCAAGAAGGGGCUUACAGUCUCCAGGAUCUGUCACUGCUGUAUAAUGACAAUCAGGGCAAAGUUUCCGACCAUCAUUCAGAAUGAUAUACUUCAGGUCUCCUAUCUACAAAUAGCUGCAGCAUUGAGGAGUUCCAUCAGAUGUAUGCUUUUCACAGUAAGUUUGGCCCCAGUAUGUACACCUUGACCAAUCCGAGCAAAUCUGUACCAAACAUAACAUAAGUAUCAGGUAAACUCAUUCCGUUAUUUUCUGAUCAUUCACAGUUACAAGGAUAAAUUAUUCCAAGAAAGACUAAAGGGAAGGAUAUUUGAGGAAAGGGAACACAAACCUCCUCUUCACAAACAUCACAAACAAGAAUAUUGCACCGCUUUCUACUCUUUCUCCAGAAAGAAGUGCUCCUACAAAAUCAUAAAAAUGUGUCUGAAGAAAUAUAUGUAUUCAUAAACUGAAUAUAUCUUUGAUGCUCUCCACAGUUCUUCACAAUUUCCCACAAAUCACAAUUGAAAAAUAGCUAGCAACACUUCUGUUAUAUUAGUAUGAAACCUGCUUUAACUUAAAGCAGGACCAUAGAUCCUAACUCGACAUGAAUUAAGUAAACUUACAAAUACCAAAUCCUAAUCAAUUUUCCUUCCUGAAUUAGUUUCUGAUGGUGUCAAUAUGAUCAAAUGGAAAGCAGAAAAAAGUCAUGGCAAAAGCUACAGAUAAUUUAUUCAUUGCUGAUCUAGAAGCACUUGAAUUGUGUUACUCUUACCUUGAUGCAUGGACAAAUGGAUUUAACUCCUUGAAAAGCUUCCACCAUUUCAGUUCUCUGCCUCCAGUACUGGUGCUGUAAUGAUGUUAAUAAAUCUGAUCUUAAACUUAAUCAGCUUGCGACAAAAAGGGAGAUGAAUAGGACAAUUACAUUACAUAUGUGUGAAUUGUAAUAUGCUAGAUGAAAAUAUUCAUUUCCAUUUAUAUAUUUUUUACUGAGUAAAUCCCUGGGAGUUGGUGGUGAACAAUUCGAAAAUCUGUGGAUAAUGGUUUUCAUUUACCCCUAUAAGCACCAGGGAAUGAGAGGGCAUAUUUACCUCAAGUCUGUAGAAGAUAAUGAGGUUUCUUCCAGCGCUUGUGCAAGUUCUUCUACUUCAUCAUUCUGGGAAUACUCUGUAUCUGAGAUUUAAAAAAGUGACCAAAUGUAUACAUCAAACUACUUGCCUGAAGAUGGUAAGAAACUUCUGUUAAGCAUUUAUUUCUUCCAAAAUAUCAAAGUGAAGCUUAAAUUGAAA